AUGACGGUAUCACCCAUCCCGCCGUGCAAGUGCCUCGACGGCUUUGAGCCGGCUAGCAUGGAGGAGUGGACCAGUGGCACGUUCUUUAAGGGGUGCCGACGAAAGGAGCCACUAGACGAGUGCGGUGGCGAUUUCUUAGCCUUGCCGGGGAUGAAGCCACCAGACAAGUUCACGCUCAUUGGCGGGGACAAGACUACAUUCCAGGAGUGCGCAACAGAGUGCAACCGCAACUGCUACUGUGUGGCAUAUGCGUAUGCUAACCUGAGCAGCGGCAGGUCUAGAGGAAACGUGACAAGGUGCUUGGUUUGGGCCGGGGAGUUGAUUGACACGGGGAAGUUUGGCUCAGUAAUUGGCAGCGACACGCUCUAUCUCCAAAUUGCUGGCCUAGAUGUGGCAGAUGGUAAAAGGACUAAGAGCAAUACAGUGGGGAUUGGACUGCCAGUUUUAACAAGUUUUCUGGUGCUCCUAUGCAUAGCCUUGGCAUGGUUAAUAUCUAAAGGAAACCCUCCCCGUGAUCAUGAAUUUCCAUUUGUAAGAUUUCAGGAAAUUGCCAUAGCAACUCAAAACUUCUGUGAAACAUGUAAGAUUGGACAUGGAGGCUUUGGCAAAGUUUACGAGGGAAUGUUAGAUGGUCAAGAAGUUGCUAUCAAAAGGCUUAGUAAGGAUUCUCAACAAGGAACAAAUGAAUUCAGGAAUGAGGUAAUUCUAAUUGCCAAACUGCAACAUAGGAACUUGGUUCAACUCCUCGGGUGUUGCGCGGACAGAGAUGAAAAAUUGUUGAUUUAUGAGUAUAUGCCUAACAAGAGCUUGGAUGCUACCCUUUUUGAUGACUCGAGAAAAUUGUUGCUAGAUUGGUCAACACGAUUUAAUAUAGUCAAAGGGAUCGCAAGGGGACUUCUUUAUCUCCACCAAGAUUCAAGAUUGACAAUAAUUCACAGAGACCUGAAAGCUGGAAAUGUAUUGCUAGAUGCAGAGAUGAAACCCAAGAUAGCGGAUUUUGGUAUGGCAAGGAUCUUUGGAGAGAACCAACAAAAUGCAAAUACUCAACGUGUUGUCGGGACCUGUCAUGGAAUAUGUGGCAAGAAGGGCGGGCAGACGAGCUGCCAGACUCAUCUAUCAUGGAUACUUGUUCACUAG
rnacentral:rRNA from 1 species